UACGAAGGGGGCUAGCGUUGUUCGGAAUUACUGGGCGUAGAGCGCGCGCAGGCGGUCUUCCAAGUCAGUGGUGAAAGCCCGGAGCUCAACUCCGGAACUGCCAUUGAAACUGUUGGACUUGAGUACGAGAGAGGUGAGUGGAAUUCCCAGUGUAGAGGUGAAAUUCGUAGAUAUUGGGAAGAACACCGGUGGCGAAGGCGGCUCACUGGCUCAUUACUGACGCUCAGGCGCGACAGCGUGGGGAUCAAACAGG
rnacentral:rRNA from 1 species